rnacentral:misc_RNA from 1 species
GUCUUUUAUUAUUCUCAACUAACUCUGUCAAACAAACAAGCGUAAACAUCAGAGUCUUGCGACCCUGUGCUAAUGUAGAGUCACUGCGCACCGUAAACGGCACACAGCUCUCCAAAGAUUUGUAAUGAUCCUUCCGCAGGUUCACCUACGGAAA